CAUGCAAGUCGAACGAACUCUUCGGAGUUAGUGGCAGACGGGUGAGUAACGCGUGGGAACAUACCUUUCGGUACGGAACAACAGUUGGAAACGACUGCUAAUACCGUAUGCGCCCUAUGGGGGAAAGAUUUAUCGCCGAGAGAUUGGCCCGCGUUGGAUUACCUAGUUGGUGGGGUAAUGGCCUACCAAGGCGACGAUCCAUAGCUGGUCUGAGAGGAUGAUCAGCCACACUGGGACUGAGACACGGCCCAGACUCCUACGGGAGGCAGCAGUGGGGAAUAUUGGACAAUGGGGGCAACCCUGAUCCAGCCAUGCCGCGUGAGUGAUGAAGGCCCUAGGGUUGUAAAGCUCUUUCAGCGAGGAGGAUAAUGACGUUACUCGCAGAAGAAGCCCCGGCUAACUUCGUGCCAGCAGCCGCGGUAAUACGAAGGGGGCUAGCGUUGUUCGGAAUCACUGGGCGUAAAGCGCACGUAGGCGGACUUUUAAGUCAGGGGUGAAAUCCCGGGGCUCAACCCCGGAACUGCCUUUGAUACUGGAAGUCUUGAGACCGA
rnacentral:rRNA from 1 species